rnacentral:rRNA from 1 species
UACGUGAGGUGGCAAGCGUUUGUCCGGAUUUACUGGGCGUAAAGAGCGCGUAGGCGGCCUUCUAAGUCGGAACGUGAAAUCCCCGGGCUCAACCCGGGAACUGCGUCCGAUACUGGAAGGCUUGAAUCCGGGAGAGGGAGUGUGGAAUUCCAGGUGUAGCGGUGAAAUGCGUAGAUAUCUGGAGGAACACCGGUGGCGAAGGCGACAUCCUGGACCGGUAUUGACGCUGAGGCG